GCGCCCGUAGCUCAGUGGAUAGAGCGUCUGACUACGGAUCAGAAGGCCGGGGGUUCGAAUCCCUUCGGGCGCGCCA
rnacentral:tRNA from 2 species